GAUGAACGCUGGCGGCGUGCCUAAUACAUGCAAGUCGAGCGAACGGACGAGAAGCUUGCUUCUCUGAUGUUAGCGGCGGACGGGUGAGUAACACGUGGAUAACCUACCUAUAAGACUGGGAUAACUUCGGGAAACCGUAGCUAAUACCGGAUAAUAUUUUGAACCGCAUGGUUCAAAAGUGAAAGACGGUCUUGCUGUCACUUAUAUAUGGAUCCGCGCUGCAUUAGCUAGUUGGUAAGGUAACGGCUUACCAAGGCAACGAUGCAUAGCCGACCUGAGAGGGUGAUCGGCCACACUGGAACUGAGACACGGUCCAGACUCCUACGGGAGGCAGCAGUAGGGAAUCUUCCGCAAUGGGCGAAAGCCUGACGGAGCAACGCCGCGUGAGUGAUGAAGGUCUUCGGAUCGUAAAACUCUGUUAUUAGUGAAGAACAUAUGUGUAAGUAACUGUGCACAUCUUGACGGUACCUAAUCAGAAAGCCACGGCUAACUACGUG
rnacentral:rRNA from 1 species